GUGUGGUCUAGUGGUACGAUUCUUGCUUCGGGUUUUCCCUGAGUUUGUAUACUCAAACAUGUGAGAGGGUAAGUACAAUCCUUGAAGAAACCUCAAACUUCCAAUCUAACGAACAAUAGUCCCGAGUUCGAACCUCGGCAGAGCCC